rnacentral:rRNA from 1 species
AACGAACGCUGGCGGCGUGGCUAAGGCAUGCAAGUCGAACGGACGUAGUGAGUAGCAAUACGAGCUACGUUAGUGGCGGACGGGUGAGUAAUGCUUGGGUAACGUACCUCGGACACAGGAAUAGCGCCGGGUUCGCCGCAAGGCGAAUCCUUUGCGAAAGUGGCGGUAAUACCUGAUGAUGCGGCGGAGUCGCACGGCUCUGCCGGCAAAUGCUCCGGCGGUCNGAGAGCGGCCCAAGUCCUAUCAGCUUGUUGGUAGGGUAAUGGCCUACCAAGGCUACGACGGGUAGCCGGCGUGAGAGCGCGACCGGCCACAUCGGAACUGAGACACUGUCCGGACACCUACGGGUGGCUGCAGCAACGAAUAUUCCGCAAUGGGCGCAAGCCUGACGGAGCGACGCCGCGUGGAGGAUGAAGUCCUGG